rnacentral:rRNA from 1 species
UACGUAGGUGGCAAGCGUUUCCGGAUUUACUGGGUGUAAAGGGCGUGUAGGCGGGGAUGCAAGUCAGAUGUGAAAUCCCGCGGCUCAACCGCGGAACUGCAUCUGAAACUGCGUCUCUUGAGUGUCGGAAGGGAAAGUGGAAUUCCUAGUGUAGCGGUGAAAUGCGUAGAUAUUAGGAGGAACACCGGUGGCGAAGGCGACUUUCUGGACGAUAACUGACGCUGAGACGCGAAAGCGUGGGGAGGCAAACAGGAUUAGAUACCCUGGUA